rnacentral:tRNA from 1 species
UACGGACUUACAUAAUAAAUAAUUUGAGCAAAAAUCCGUUGGCUUUAUUGACCGUGAGGGUUCAAGUCCC